UACGUAGGGGGCAAGCGUUGUCCGGAUUUACUGGGCGUAAAGAGCGUGUAGGCGGCCACGCAGGUCCGUUGUGAAAACUGGAGGCUCAACCUCCAGCUGUCGACGGAAACCGUGUGGCUAGAGUCCGGAAGAGGAGAGCGGAACGUCCUGGUGUAGCGGUGGAAUGCGCAGAUAUCAGGAAGAACACCGGUGGCGAAGGCGGCUCACUGGCUCGGUACUGACGCUGAGGUGCGAAAGCGUGGGGAGCAAACAGG
rnacentral:rRNA from 1 species